GAUGAACGCUGGCGGCGUGCCUAAUACAUGCAAGUCGAGCGAAUGGAUUAAGAGCUUGCUCUUAUGAAGUUAGCGGCGGACGGGUGAGUAACACGUGGGUAACCUGCCCAUAAGACUGGGAUAACUCCGGGAAACCGGGGCUAAUACCGGAUAACAUUUUGAACCGCAUGGUUCGAAAUUGAAAGGCGGCUUCGGCUGUCACUUAUGGAUGGACCCGCGUCGCAUUAGCUAGUUGGGGAGGGAACGGCUCACCAAGGCAACGAUGCGUAGCCGACCUGAGGGGGUGAUCGGCCACACUGGGACUGAGACACGGCCCAGACUCCUACGGGAGGCAGCAGUAGGGAAUCUUCCGCAAUGGACGAAAGUCUGACGGAGCAACGCCGCGUGAGUGAUGAAGGCUUUCGGGUCGUAAAACUCUGUUGUUAGGGAAGAACAAGUGCUAGUUGAAUAAGCUGGCACCUUGACGGUACCUAACCAGAAAGCCACGGCUAACUACGUGCCAGCAGCCGCCGCAG
rnacentral:rRNA from 1 species